UAGGGAAUCUUCCGCAAUGGGCGAAAGCCUGACGGAGCAACGCCGCGUGAGUGAUGAAGGUCUUCGGAUCGUAAAACUCUGUUAUUAGGGAAGAACAAAUGUGUAAGUAACUAUGCACGUCUUGACGGUACCUAAUCAGAAAGCCACGGCUAACUACGUGCCAGCAGCCGCGGUAAUACGUAGGUGGCAAGCGUUAUCCGGAAUUAUUGGGCGUAAAGCGCGCGUAGGAGGUUUUUUAAGUCUGAUGUGAAAGCCCACGGCUCAACCGUGGAGGGUCAUUGGAAACUGGAAAACUUGAGUGCAGAAGAGGAAAGUGGAAUUCCAUGUGUAGCGGUGAAAUGCGCAGAGAUAUGGAGGAACACAAGUGGCGAAGGCGACUUUCUGGUCUGUAACUGACGCUGAUGUGCGAAAGCGUGGGGAUCAAACAGG
rnacentral:rRNA from 1 species